rnacentral:misc_RNA from 1 species
GAACCCUCCAAGAAAUUUGUAAUAAGCAGAAAGCAAAAAUAAGGAGAAAACAAUCCCACCAACACCUCCAAUCAGCAAGGGUCUUCUUCCAAGAUCAUCAACUUUUAGAACAGCUAUCCAUGUCAUCAGCAACUUGAACAAACCAAUAAUGACAGAAACUCGAGUGGCAUCAGCAGCCGCAGAGAAUCCAGCACCCUGAAGAAUUGGGCCGGCAUAAUAUAGAACACUUGGUUGCCCAGUUAUCUGCUGGAAAAACACCAAACCUCCAGCAAUAAUGAAGGCUUUCAAACUUGGUCCUUGAAACACCUCUAAGAUACUGCCCUCAGAAUCCUCCUCUGAAUAGGCAGACUUCAGAGAGACAAGGGUAUCCUCUAUUUGCUUCUCAGACACUUUGUCACCCAGAAGCCGGCCUCUUAGCUUGCUCAAGGCAAAAAUGGCCUUCUCUUUG